UUGCAGCCGAGUGAGUGGUCUCGUCGCUACUGCGGACAAGAGCCGUCAAAAACUUCGCAUUGAAGUGACUCUUCACAUCACCUUCAAAAAAGCAAUAGUCUUUUUAAAGACUCUUCCCUUCCAUCUCUAUCCUCCAUCUCCACCUUCCCUUGUGGUGCAGAAGACUUUCUCCCAUCCGGUCUUCCCUUCAGGUGCUACAGACUUUUCAGAAAACAGACACACUCCAGUGCUGCUUCAAGACACAGCUGCCCUCAGUCCUGUGAGGUGGUGACAUCUCAGGCUCGUUCCAGACCAGCCUUCACCAGAGGGGUGUCCGUGUGAUACCUGUGGCACUGUGUCUUGUCUGUCUGUCUGUACGCACCUGUACACGUCUACGUCCGUCCACCCUACACGCAUACACACUAACAACAUUACUUGACAUCACUGCUGACAACAGAACCCACUUACCUACAUACCUGCAUACAUAUUGGUGACAAGAAUUCUUAACACUGUCUGAUUACAUACCUGCUGCACAUACCUGGCACAUACUUGAUCACAUACUGUUUGUCUUUGUCUGUGCACGAAAGAUACAUCACAGACAACAUUGCUGACAUCAUCUCUGACAUCAGAUUCUACUUAACCUACAUACCUGCAUACAUAUUGGUGACAAGAAUACUUAACACUGUCUGAUUACAUACCUGGCACAUACCUGAAUGCACAUACCUGCUGCACAUACUUGAACUAUACUCUGAAUCAAAGCCUAUACUCUGAAUCAAGCCUAUACUCUGAAUCAAAGCCAUACUCAGACUUGUACUUCUACUCUGAAUAAAACUUAUACUCUGAACUAUACUGAGAACUCCACCUGGGAACCAUUCAUACAGAGAGAUAUAUAAGUAUAUCUGUGGACUAUAUCUGUAAAUCGUACUUUUUAAACAUUUACACAUUUGAACAAUCUAUUCUGUGAAAACUUGCUGUACUGUUAACUCUGUGCUUUUAGACCUGAGCUGUCCUUCAAGACCUGCUUUGCUGUGUGAAGAUUUUCAUAUUCCAUCCAAGUUCUGCAUAACCUUGAACCAGCUGCCUCCAUCAUACAGUGUGACCUCAACAUAACCACUCCAGUGCUGCCUCUUCAGAAUUACCACUGAUACAGAUUCAGAUACAGAUACUGAUUCUGGAAUUCAAGCAUCAGACAAAGUUUUGAGCAUAUUUGUAUUGCAAUUCUGAAAUUGAAUUCUGAAAUUAAGUGUUAAACUUCAGUAGACAUUUGUUUAUUCCUGACCAGUUAAUUAUCAGUUAUC